GAGCUGGGACUGUUUAGCCUGGAAAAGAGAAGCCUCAGGGGGAUCCCAUCAAUGUAUAUAAACACCUGAAGGGAGGGUGCAAAGAGGACAAAGCCAGGCUUUUUUCAGUGAUGCUCAGUGACAGGACAAGAGCAAUGGGCACACACUGAAACACAGGAGAAUCUGUAUGAACACAGGAAACACUUUUUCCACUGUGGGUGUGACUGAGCACUGGCACCAGGAUGCCCAAAGAAGUUGUGGAGUCUCCCUCCUUAAUGAUACUCAAGAGUCAUCUGGGCAUGGUCCUUGACAACCAGCUCUGGGUGGCCCUGCUAAACCAGGGAGGUUGGACUACAUGACCUCCAGAAGCCCCUUCCAACCUCCAACACUCUCUGGUUCUGUGAGGUGUGAAAUAAAGAGAAUCACAAAACAGGAAAAGCGUGGUAAACUUCCAUCGCAGAUGUCAACAUGGAACUUGAAGUGCUCUACGUAUAUGAUGGUUGUGGAAUUA